CACAGUUUGAAUAAAUCACUAUAAGAAUGAAGUUGGGAUUCGUAUUAAUUUUAACUAUUCUGAUAGUGUCAGUCUUUUUCGGUAGUACCGAAGCUGGAUGGCUGAAGAAGAAACUGAAAAAAGUGGAAAAAGCUGGGCAGAGAGUUAGAGAUGCUGCAGAAAAAGCUUUACCUAUUGUCGCUGGUUAUGCCCCAAUUAUUGCCGCAGUAGGAAGAUAAGUCCGUAUUUUAUUUAUUGUAUUAUAUUUAUUUUCUGUAUGUGCCAUAGUUUAUAAUAAAAUUAAAAAAUAGAUAUA